rnacentral:rRNA from 1 species
GAUGAACGCUAGCUACAGGCUUAACACAUGCAAGUCGAGGGGAAACGGCAUUGAGUGCUUGCACUCUUUGGACGUCGACCGGCGCACGGGUGAGUAACGCGUAUCCAACCUUCCCAUUACUGUGGGAUAACCUGCCGAAAGGCAGACUAAUACCGCAUAGUCUUCGAUGACGGCAUCAGAUUUGAAGUAAAGAUUUAUCGGUAAUGGAUGGGGAUGCGUCUGAUUAGCUUGUUGGCGGGGUAACGGCCCACCAAGGCUACGAUCAGUAGGGGUUCUGAGAGGAAGGUCCCCCACAUUGGAACUGAGACACGGUCCAAACUCCUACGGGAGGCAGCAGUGAGGAAUAUUGGUCAAUGGACGGAAGUCUGAACCAGCCAAGUAGCGUGCAGGAUGACGGCCCUAUGGGUUGUAAACUGCUUUUGUAUGGGGAUAAAGUUAGGGACGUGUCCCUAUUUGCAGGUACCAGACGAAUAAGGACCGGCUAAUUCCGUG